rnacentral:rRNA from 1 species
UGGGGAAUUUUGGACAAUGGGCGAAAGCCUGAUCCAGCAAUGCCGCGUGUGUGAAGAAGGCCUUCGGGUUGUAAAGCACUUUUGUCCGGAAAGAAAUCCUUGGCUCUAAUACAGUCGGGGGAUGACGGUACCGGAAGAAUAAGCACCGGCUAACUACGUGCCAGCAGCCGCGGUAAUACGUAGGGUGCAAGCGUUAAUCGGAAUUACUGGGCGUAAAGCGUGCGCAGGCGGUUUGCUAAGACCGAUGUGAAAUCCCCGGGCUCAACCUGGGAACUGCAUUGGUGACUGGCAGGCUAGAGUAUGGCAGAGGGGGGUAGAAUUCCACGUGUAGCAGUGAAAUGCGUAGAGAUGUGGAGGAAUACCGAUGGCGAAGGCAGCCCCCUGGGCCAAUACUGACGCUCAUGCACGAAAGCGUGGGGAGCAAACAGGAUUAGAUACCCUGGUAGUCCACGCCCUAAACGAUGUCAACUAGUUGUUGGGGAUUCAUUUCCUAGUAACGUAGCUAACGCGUGAAGUUGACCGCCUGGGGAGUACGGUCGCAAGAUUAAAACUUAAAGGAAUUGACGGGGUCAUAGCUGUUUCCU